rnacentral:rRNA from 2 species
UGCUGGAGGUAUCAGAAGUGCGAAUGCUGACAUAAGUAACGAUAAAGCGGGUGAAAAGCCCGCUCGCCGGAAGACCAAGGGUUCCUGUCCAACGUUAAUCGGGGCAGGGUGAGUCGACCCCUAAGGCGAGGCCGAAAGGCGUAGUCGAUGGGAAACGGGUUAAUAUUCCCGUACUUGGUGUUACUGCGAAGGGGGGACGGAGAAGGCUAUGUUGGCCGGGCGACGGUUGUCCCGGUUUAAGCGUGUAGGUGUGUGUUCCAGGUAAAUCCGGUUCACUUUAACACUGAGGCGUGACGACGAGGCACUACGGUGCUGAAGCAACAAAUGCCCUGCUUCCAGGAAAAGCCUCUAAGCAUCAGGUAACA